AUUGAACGCUGGCGGCAGGCCUAACACAUGCAAGUCGAGCGGAAACGAUCCUAGCUUGCUAGGAGGCGUCGAGCGGCGGACGGGUGAGUAACGCGUGAGAAUCUACCCAUGAGUGGGGGACAACCCGGGGAAACUCGGGCUAAUACCGCAUACGCCCUACGGGGUAAAGCAGGGGACCUUCGGGCCUUGCGCUGAUGGAUGAGCUCGCGUCGGAUUAGCUUGUUGGUGAGGUAAAGGCUCACCAAGGCGACGAUCCGUAGCUGGUCUGAGAGGAUGAUCAGCCACACCGGGACUGAGACACGGCCCGGACUCCUACGGGAGGCAGCAGUGGGGAAUCUUGGACAAUGGGGGCAACCCUGAUCCAGCCAUGCCGCGUGUGUGAAGAAGGCCUUCGGGCUGUAAAGCACUUUCAGCAGGGAGGAAGGCUUACCCCUAAUACGGGUGAGUACUUGACGUUACCUGCAGAAGAAGCACCGGCUAAUUUCGUG
rnacentral:rRNA from 1 species